rnacentral:rRNA from 1 species
AGAGUUUGAUCCUGGCUCAGGAUGAACGCUAGCGACAGGCUUAACACAUGCAAGUCGAGGGGCAACGGGACGUAGCAAUACGUUGCCGGCGACCGGCGGAUGGGUGAGUAACGCGUAUGCAACCUACCCACGACAGGGGGAUAGCCCGUUGAAAGACGGAUUAAUGCCCCAUAAAACAGGGGUUCCGCAUGGGACUAUUUGUUAAAGGGUUCUCCGCGAGGGGGACAUCGGUUGUGGAUGGGCAUGCGUUCCAUUAGGCAGUUGGUGAGGUAACGGCUCACCAAACCGACGAUGGAUAGGGGAACCGAGAGGUUGGUCCCCCACACUGGUACUGAGAUACGGACCAGACUCCUACGGGAGGCAGCAGUGAGGAAUUUUGGUCAAUGGACGGAAGUCUGAACCAGCCAAGUCGCGUGAAGGAAGGCGGCCCUAAGGGUUGUAAACUUCUUUUGUAAGGGAAUAAAGUGCGUUACGUGUAGUGCAUUGCAAGUACCUUACGAAUAAGGAUCGGCUAACUCCGUGCCAGCAGCCGCGGUAAUACGGAGGAUCCGAGCGUUAUCCGGAUUUAUUGGGUUUAAAGGGUGCGCAGGCGGGGGAUUAGGUCGGCGGUGAAAUAUCAGGGCUCAACCUUGAGAGUGCCGUCGAAACCGGUUUUCUUGAGUGCGGAUGAAGUAGGCGGAAUUUGUGGUGUAGCGGUGAAAUGCGUAGAUAUCACAAAGAACACCGAUUGCGGAGGCAGCUUACUAAACCGCAACUGACGCUCAUGCACGAAGGCGUGGGGAUCAAACAGGAUUAGAUACCCCGGUAGUCCACGCAGUAAACGAUGAUUACUAGCUGUUUGCGAUACAAUGUAAGCGGCUGAGCGAAAGCGUUAAGUAAUCCACCUGGGGAGUACGUUCGCAAGAAUGAAACUCAAAUGAAUUGACGG